UGUGGGUACAAUCCACGAUGAAAGAUAAUCUUGCACUGUUAAUGUAGGCAUAUCAAUAAACCAGAUUACAUGACAGGCCAGUAUUGAACAACACAUUUCUAGCCUCGAACAAUGAUAGAUCUAUUUGAAAACUACCAGGAACGGUGCAGCGGUUUAAACAUUUUUUCGCAACCUUUUCUCCACGUUACGCCCUCGCAAACCGUCAAAAACGUUGUUCUUAAAGCCUGCCCGAAACACUAAGUACAAGCGUGUUGUGGUUUCAUAGCAGUGAAGAAACUAAACGUUGGAAAAUUAAAAAAGGAAACGGGGUAACCCGAACGAGAGGAUGUGGUGUUUGUUUAUCGUAAAGGUACUGACAGGAGGUGUGACGAGGACGCUGAUCCAGUGGACCUGGUGCCAGUAAGGAUGGUCGUCACGGAGGCGAUAAGACCGUCCAGGAUGGAGAAAUCCUUCGACUUCACUGCCUUUUCAAUGGUAAGGUCCCUUGCACCAUAGGGACACUUGACCUCCACCACUGCUGUGGUGCCCACCAGACCAUCCGGUGAGGCACCCAGGAUACCAGUCCCCAUGACCCAAAGCCCUGACUCCUGCAUCUCCAUCCCUGUAGCCAUUUUGAAUGCCUUGAUGUCCUCCUCUUUGUUAUCUGUGCUCCACUUUACAGACAACACCCCAUCCAAUGACUGUGAUCUGAGGACCCUUUUUUAGCAGCGAGGGAGUAACGUGCUUGGCCCUAACUGCUGCGCCAAAUGUCUGGCCGUCAACCUCCCUCUCCUUAUGAUGUGCCAGUUGGGGUUGGUGCACUGUCCCAACUGUUGCCUGCCGUAUAGCAUCCUGCUGCUCCACCGACAUCGCCAUGCAUGCUCCAGGUGCCUUUAAAAAAAGAAAUAUUUGGUACAGACCUGCCAUUCCACUGAACCUGCCCCACAGAUGGUUCCUUAGCCACUGAAGAUCCUCCUCUGUGGGCUCUAGGGACAGAGACUUAGUCGUCUUCGGCCGGGUAAAGAUCCUCCAUGGACUGCAUCUGGUUGGGCACAAGCGGCUUCCUCCACUCACAUUACACAUCCAUACAGCCGAUAUUGUGAACCGCAAAAAUAGCCAAUGCAGUUGCAUGGCUGCACUUAGGAGCUCCACGGGAGCAUUCACAUGUGGUAGAGAGAAUCCCCUGGUCACCUAUAGAGACCUGCCAAGAGGAAAGUGCUAUAUGCAUGACUUUGAACACCUUGAAAUGCAUUUGUUGUAAGAAAUGUGCUAUAUUUAUUGAUUAGGCCCUUCCCACAUGACUGGGAAGGGGCGCAGCCUUGGAUGGGCCUGGGAGGGCAUAGGCCCAGCCAAUCAGAAUGAGUUUUUCCCCACAAAAGGGCAUUAUUACAGACAGAAAUACUCUCCAGUAUCAUCAGCUGCAGAAAAGCCAGCAAAUUCACAUGCAAUAAGUAAAUGUUCAUCUACUGACUAGAUUAUGCUACAGAGUGGACAGUGUUGUCCCCAGUGAUACCAGUUUGAUGUUUUUGAAGCUUAAUGUUUGAGAUUUCAUCCCAGCAUUUAGAAUGUGAGGUUCUGAGGCUUAUAAUGUUCAUGUUCAUGUUCAUGGUUUCAGACGAUCCCACAGAUGAAGAAGCAGGAAGUGGAGGUCCUGGGUUGUCCUGGUUACACAUGGUCUGUGGAUGUGAGGCCAGUUGGAUGUACUUCCAAAUUAUCUUAAAGUUGAAGGCAGCUUAUGGUUUUAUUGUCCUCAGCACAAGGUUCACCUGUGUAAUGAUCAUGCCAUUUAAUCAGCUUGAUAUGCCACACCUGUCAGGUGGAUGGAUUAUAUUGGCAAAGGAGAAAUGCUCACCAACAGGGAUGUAGACAAAUUUGUACACAUUUUGUGCAUAAGGAACAUUUCUGGGAUCUAUUAUUUCAGCUCAUGAAACAUGAGACUAACACUUUACAUGUUGCCUUUAUAUUUGUAUUCAGUAUAAAGUUAUUUGAUUGAUUGACAUUACAGCUGUAAAAUAUUUAACAAGUGCAGUUGUUCCAUAAACGUUCAAUUGAUAACUUGGGAUUGUAUCACUUGACAUAUCUAUCAUACAGUGUGAAGGAUCCUAUAAAUCAAGACUGAAUGCAUGUGCCACUCUGAAUAAAUAAAUACUGUGACUUUGAA